UCUCUCAUUCACUUGAAACCGAAAACGAGAAGAGAACAUCGGCAGAGAUUGAGAGAUGAAAGAGAGAGAUAGAGAGAUUAAGAGUGAAUCAGAAAUUUUGAUGAUCAUGAUGGUGUUCGAUUAAAGAGUUGAUGACCUUAUGGAUAAUGUUCUGAUCGUUGUUUGGUGAUUUAGGGUUUUAGAAGAAAUUGCAGAUGAAAAUGAAGAAGGAAUCGGAGCUGAAAUCGAUAUGAGUAUGUCGAGAUAAGGUUUAUUCAGAACUGAGAUUGAUGAUUAAGUUAAGAGAAUUGAAGAAAUUCAGAAACUAGGGUUUGUUUUUGGGAAGAGCAGCUUAGACUGAGUCGGUAAGAAGGAGAAUCAGUUAAUUGAAGAUGGGGGUCGAGCUCGAUUUGCAACCAGAUGAAGAAAUCAAGUUACAGGGAAACAAAUUUUAUUCUGUUAUCAAUGGUGUGAUCUAGGGGUUGGAGACAUUCCACUUGACUGGGUAGUAGGAGCUUGCAUCUUGCAAAACUUAAAAGCUUCAACUUUGAGUAUGCGAAACAUCUUUAUGGGCUUCAGAGGUCUUUGCGUUUUUAUAUAUUUUUAAUUUUGGGUUUAUAGAUUCAAUCCUGCUCAUUCUGUUUUGUGUUUUUUUUCUUUCUACAAACAACGUCAAUACUACAACUUGAUGUAAUUGGUGCGUUAGCACUCGCAGUUCUAUCUUCUGCUGCUACUGAAGGAAUUUUACGAUCUGAAGUGGUGAUGUGAUUUUUGCAUUAGCACAGGAGGCGGCGACAUUUGUAAACAUCGGGACUUCUUUGUGAUAUAACUCAAUUUAUGUUUCUUAUUGCAGAGCAAGGCAGUCGAUAUCGGUUAUAAAGGCCGAUAUUACAGGUUUUUAUCGGAUAUUGGAAAAUACCUAUAUCAUGUCAAAAAUAUCGGCGAUACAAAGACGAGAUGAUAUUAUCGGUUGUACAGACCGAUAUAUCGGUUUUAAUUGUACACCGAUAAUGUCGGUUUCGUGAAUAAAUUUUUUAUCAACAUGCAUCUAGUCUUUACAGACAAGUACAAUGUCAAUUGGAGAAGGUAAAAAGCCCUAAUAUAUUUAUAAUAUAAAAUCAAUUACUAUGGAUAAGAUAUAAGAUGGAAACCAUAUAUCGAUUGUAAGGCAGAGAAAUAUAAAAGAUAAUAUGAAGGAUAAUAAAAAAGAUUUACCGGCAUAAUGGGACAAUAAUCACAUCGUUGGCUAAUAAAUCACCUUGUGUUUUGGAAAUUUGAGAUACGUGUAUGCUUCUUAUUGUUUUUUAUAUGAUUUUAUAACUAUUUGAAAUUCUAUAUUAAAUGAUGUAUCGCCUGUAAAAACAUAUAUUAUCACUUGUAUUAGUGUAUAGGACCCGACCAAUAUGAUACCGAUACGUGAUAUUAACUAUCUUGUUGCAUGGGUAUGCAUACUACGAUCCCUUGAUGAAUCAAAAAGAAGAUUGCUUUAUGUGCAGUCAAAACUUCAAAUGUGAGCUUAAUAGCUAUUCCGACUCCAACAGGUUAAAGUUAUAUUAAGCCUAUUUCAUUUCAUGCCUCUGUGGUACCAAGUCAAUUCUAUCAUUUGUUUUGCUUAAAUUACGUAGAAAUCCGGUGGGUUUGCUAAAUUGUAGACUGUGAUUUUACAUGAAAGGCACGAGGAAAUUGGGGUUUGAUAAGACAGUCUUCACAAUGCGCAAUGGGGAGGACAAUGUCAAAACUUUGUUUUGUCAAGGACAGGUUGGUGUCUCUUCAAUAACCCACUUAUUCGCUGAAACAUUAAGCUGACUAGGGUUUUACAUACAUGAGCAUUAGAUAGGAAUUGAGGUUUUCUUUUUUUUUUCUUUUAUAUUGGGCUCUUCUUAUUAAUUAGUGUUGACUGUUUGAUGAAAUGCCUGGAAGAAAUGUUAAAGUAUUAUCCCAGUAUUACCGAAUGUUGGACGCCCCAGCAAACAAAGCUGGAAUAUACAGGUUAAUUCCUCAUGUGAAUUAAAUAAUUGAACAAGUUUUAGUUUAACAAGAUCAUUAAAGAUAUAAAAACUUUAUUUUGAUGGGUAUGCUAGCGGAUACCUCUGUUUUUAUUGAUCAAUAGCACGAUCUUAGUAAGCAUGAUUCUUCUUAUAUGCACACUGAAUGCUUAUAGUGGCAUGGAAGGAAUUUGUUGGCUCAAAUAUAAUUUUGUGCUAAGUUUCCACUUUCCAUUGUUCACUUUACAUGCAUUAUUGGUUUUUGUCUGUCGUAGGGUGUGGGUUCAGUAAAUGGUGUUUAUAACUCGCAAUCCAAGAACCAGAGGUGUUUAUAAAGGCAUUCUAGACAUGUCGUGUUCGCUAUGAUUUGUCUCUGGUAAACUCAUGUGGAACCUGUCUUUGUGCAAGCACCUGCUGAGAAAGGAUUGGCAAGCUUUUUUGUUGUUUCUAUGAUGCGAGGUGUCUCAGCUACCGUCUCGAAUACUGGUGCUGCUUGAAUCGAGUGUGUAAACCUUUUCAUCCAUAACCUGCAUAAGAUGAUCAAGUCUGGCAGGCUUUUUGAAUCCUACAAGGGAAUUGGAGAGUGCUUUGGGAGAACAUUCCAAGAAGAUGAGUUUGUUUGGUACUAAUCACUAUAUGUUUUAAGAUUUGAUGUGAGAGAGCAGAAUUGAAACGAACAAGUUAAUGGGGUGUUAGAGAAACUCAAUAUCAAAGAGUAUCUGUUUCUAAUUUAAAUACAA